ensembl:miRNA tni-let-7d tni-let-7d
UGUGCUCUGCAGUGUGAGGUAGUUGGUUGUAUGGUUUCGCAUAAUAAACAGCACGGAGAUAACUGUACAACCUUCUAGCUUUCCCUGCGGAGUCAC